rnacentral:rRNA from 1 species
GAUGAACGCUAGCGGCAGGCCUAAUACAUGCAAGUCGAGGGGCAGCGCGGUAGCAAUACUGGCGGCGACCGGCGCACGGGUGCGUAACACGUAUGCAACCUACCUUCAACUGGAGGAUAGCCCGGGGAAACUCGGAUUAAUACUCCAUAACACAGGGAUCCCGCAUGGGAAUAUUGUUAAAGCUACGGCGGUUGAAGAUGGGCAUGCGUUCGAUUAGCUAGUUGGUGUAGGUAACGGCUCACCAAGGCUACGAUCGAUAGGGGGUCUGAGAGGAUGAUCCCCCACACUGGUACUGAGAUACGGACCAGACUCCUACGGGAGCAGCAGUAGGGAAUAUUGGUCAAUGGGCGCAAGCCUGAACCAGCCAUGCGCGUGCAGGAAGAAGGCCCUCUGGGUUGUAAACUGCUUUU